UCCCUGGAGGACUAGUGGUUAGGCCUUGGUGCUCUCACUACCGCAGCCCAGGUGCGAUUCCCGACCAGGGAA